rnacentral:lncRNA from 1 species
AGUGCUUCAUUGUCUUCAUCUUCAGCAUCAAUCUUGUACCCACGUUGAAAUUGCCUUGCUAAGAUAUUUUAAUCACUGGCAUACGGCUUACUUUUGAUUGAUUAUGAGAAAACAAGUACUGCUAGAAUAGAUGUGGUACUGGAUGUUUACAAAAAGUUAUGAGCUUCAACUCUCUCACCUUUUUAAUGGCUUCAAAUGUUCACAGGAGAAACAGAAACUAGAGAACAUACUAAGAUAAAUGAAUCUAGAGAAAACUUCUUCAAAAGGGAUAAAGUUUACAAAGUGCACCAGUUUAAGUUUCAGGUUGCUCCGUGAUUCUUUUAGCGCGUAAAAAGUUUCUUCCUGUCUAACUGGUAAUGCAUGUUGAUCUUAACUUGCAUUAAGAAUUUCUAUCUUGCAUAUUUAGCUUGUUUUGAUGAGCCUAAUCUUGCCUUCAUAUACAGUUAAUUUUCAUCUUGCACUCUUUCCUAGGGUUAAAAAUUCCAACCUGUUAGAGCUCAGCUGCUUCAUCUCUUGACAUGUGUUCCAUCGCUUUGAUAUCUACCAAAACAGGACCAGCCCCUUCACAGUGUCUGUUGUUGAAAUGCUUAAUAAUUCUUGUCUCUUCUUACUCGGAAUUCUUUUCCACAUAAAUGUAUAGGUUUUUGCAUGCAACGGAAGCACAAAUGUAUAUUUCGGAAGAGCAAGAGGUUAUUUUUUUCUUAAUUUUACUGGCGGCGCAUUUGUGCUGGUGGUAGAGCAAGAUAAGGAACAAGCGGGAACAACACAGGUCCUCUAAAGACACCGCUCAUAAGAAAACAUAAUAUGGUGGAAAAGUUGCAGUUUUUGCAUACAUCAAAAUUCACGUUUAAAGAGGAAGUCAAGAAUAUAUUCUCAGACCACACAGCUCGAAAUGGUGGGUGGUUUCACUUGUAUUCUGCUCUCAGCAGCAGAUUAGCAUUUGGUGAAUCCUUCGAUACUUUUAGCAUAGAAACCUAGAGCCACCACUCCUGGUAACGAGGUCCUAAUAUAUGAGUAAAUCUAAUAAAUCCUACUAUUUGGGUUUGUGUAUUCAAUGAUGUACUAAUACUAAUGCACUAAAUUUGAUUUAAU